rnacentral:misc_RNA from 1 species
AAGUCGUAACAAGGUCUCCGUAGGUGAACCUGCGGAAGGAUCAUUAUUGAAAACAAGGGUGUCCAAUUUAACUUGGAACCCGAACUUCUCAAUUCUAACUUUGUGCAUCUGUAUUAUGGCGAGCAGUCUUCGGAUUGUGAGCCUUCACUUAUAAACACUAGUCUAUGAAUGUAAAAUUUUUAUAACAAAUAAAAA